rnacentral:lncRNA from 1 species
ACAAAGGAAUCUAACGAUAUCAGAGCAAAGUAAAUAACUAAGUUCUAAACAGAGGGGUAAGUAUAAAACUGAAAUCCACUAAUAAAGCAAUAAAGUAGUACAAAGAAAAUCCCAAAUACAAAAACUAAACAUAAAGAGUAUAUAGGUGGUCUCUCUAUACAUGGUACUCAAAAUCUCUCUCUCUCUAAUACAAUAAAAGAAAGAGUAAACCACCUAAGCUCAAAAGUAGCUUCCCGCUAACUAGCUACGCGACUCCCUU